UACGUAGGUGGCAAGCGUUGUCCGGAUUUACUGGGCGUAAAGGAUGCGUAGGCGGACAUUUAAGUCAGAUGUGAAAUACCCGAGCUUAACUUGGGUGCUGCAUUUGAAACUGGGUGUCUAGAGUGCAGGAGAGGUAAGUGGAAUUCCUAGUGUAGCGGUGAAAUGCGUAGAGAUUAGGAAGAACACCGUGGCGAAGGCGACUACUGGACUGUAACUGACGCUGGAGGCAUGAAAGCGUGGGGAGCAAACAGGG
rnacentral:rRNA from 1 species